rnacentral:rRNA from 1 species
CCUACGGGAGGCAGCAGUAGGGAAUAUUGCUCAAUGGGGGAAACCCUGAAGCAGCAACGCCGCGUGGAGGAUGAAGGUUUUCGGAUUGUAAACUCCUUUUGUUAGAGAAGAUAAUGACGGUAUCUAACGAAUAAGCACCGGCUACCACCGUGCCAGCAGCCGCGGUAAUACGGAGGGUGCAAGCGUUACUCGGAAUCACUGGGCGUAGCGGGCUCGGAGGCGGGAUCGCAAGUCCGCUGUGAAAUCCUAUGGCUUACCCAUAGAACUGCAUUUGCAACUGGUAUUCUAGAGUAUGGGAGAGGUAGGUGGAAUUCUUGGGGUAGGGGUAAAAUCCGUAGAGAUCAAGAGGAAUACUCAUUGCGGGGGCGACCUGCUAGGCCAUAACUGACGCUGGUGCGCGAACGCGUGGGGAGCAAACAGGAUUAGAGACCCCAGUAGUC